rnacentral:tRNA from 1 species
GCGGGAUUAGUAUAAUGGUAGUACGGCACCCUUCCAAGGUGCACGCACCGGUUCGAUUCCGGUAUCCCGCU